GCCGCGUUAGCUCAGCUGGUAGAGCACUCGCCUUGUAAGCGAGAGGUCGUCAGUUCGAACCUGACACGCGGCU
rnacentral:tRNA from 1 species